GACGAACGCUGGCGGCGUGCUUAACACAUGCAAGUCGAACGGAAAGGCCCCCUUGUGGGGUACUCGAGUGGCGAACGGGUGAGUAACACGUGAGUAACCUACCCUUGACUUUGGGAUAACUUCAGGAAACUGGGGCUAAUACCGGAUAGGAGCUCCUGCUGCAUGGUGGGGGUUGGAAAGUUUCGGCGGUUGGGGAUGGACUCGCGGCUUAUUAGCUUGUUGGUGGGGUAGUGGCUCACCAAGGCUUUGCCGGGUAGCCGGCCUGAGAGGGUGACCGGCCACAUUGGGACUGAGAUACGGCCCAGACUCCUACGGGAGGCAGCAGUGGGGAAUAUUGCACAAUGGGCGGAAGCCUGAUGCAGCAACGCCGCGUGCGGGAUGACGGCCUUCGGGUUGUAAACCGCUUUCGCCUGUGACGAAGCGUGAGUGACGGUAAUGGGUAAAGAAGCACCGGCUAACUACGUG
rnacentral:rRNA from 1 species